CAUAAUUAAAACCUACAAGAGACGGGAGCUAGUAAUAUCGCCCCUACUCGUCCUACGACCCAGUUUUACUUUCCUUUCGCUAACGCAAUAAAGAAGUUAAUCGUAUGUUCCUAAGAAGAUAAAAAAAAACGUCCUUACCCAGCAAAACAGGAUGACAAACCGCCCAAAAAUACUUUAAUUACAUAACGGGCCGUUCGUUGUGCUAGGCAGCCUAUCUAGAUAUUUUACUGCUCCGUGGUAUCGAAAUUAAGCUCAGCUUACCAUAUUUAUAAUCAUUGGCUUACAAAUGACCUACGACUAGUAACACUAACUUUAGUUAUGAAGGCGUCCGCUAUCAAAAAUAAUUGGUAAAAGUCUCUGGUACUACUUCUCUAACUUAAACAAGUUAUUUCCUGCCUUACCCAUUUCCGAUUUAUCAUCGUUAACUGCUUAACGCCCAGUGCACUUCUGAACCAUUUUACUUACAUUGGUUCGAGAGGAUUCUCUAGACUGAGCAAAUAUCUUUCAAUUAUUUCACUCGCAAUUUACGUUACCCGAAUCUUCAGACUUUUGAAAUAGACAAAAUCGGGCCGAAGGACAACCUUUGGUAUCUGUUCAUAAGGGAAAUUCGAGAAGCUGCGAAAAACCCUCGACACCUACAGUGCACCACUUACGCACCGAUGACACUAUCCCCCUAUGGGACAACUUGCGAUCUACCCUGCAAUCUUCUCUUAAAGUACCUUUCAUAACCUAUAUAAUUUGCCUUUAUUACCCUCUGGAGUAUUCCAGCCUUUAUAGCAAUUAUUUUUGAGCAAACCACAGUAAACCAUAGUAGUUUAAUAUUUUCUCUAAAUGUCUCGUUGACAAUCAUAUUGAGAGCAAGGCAUUUAGUUUUAAAAUCUUAAAAUAAUCAAAGUUAAGUGCCUUCAAGUGUGUUUUGGAAUCAAAUUUUCAACUUUAAUAACUAAUUCCAGUUUCACGUUAAAAUGGAGAUCACCUUUCUCCACCUUUGAAGAGAAAUUUGAUCACAGACAAUGUGACAUUCUAAUUACUCCUAGUCACAUUUUAAAUAACUUUGCAUACUAUUCAUUUGAAGACAAGAGGGAUUGACAAAAAAAAAUAGUUUGAAUUUUAUUUAUAAAAAAAAUUAAAAUGAAUAACAACCAAGUCGCUCAUUCUCCGCAAUUUUCAUAGUUUAACACUCGAUUCCAUCAAUUUACUUCGGCAUCCAACAAUUUACUUCAGCAUCCAAAUAGUCAAAAGGAGCGGCCAUUCCAGGCCAUCCCAAACUUGCUGGGCCGUGCCAGGCCAUCCCGAUCUGGCUAAGCCAUUCCAGGCCACACCGUCUCGACAACCUGUCAAAUUUGAGCGAAAAAUACUUCACCAUAACGUCCAACGCUGAAAAUGUAUCCACUGGAACUCUUAGGGUUGAUUUGGACC